rnacentral:rRNA from 1 species
UGGGGAAUAUUGCACAAUGGGCGCAAGCCUGAUGCAGCCAUGCCGCGUGUAUGAAGAAGGCCUUCGGGUUGUAAAGUACUUUCAGCGAGGAGGAAGGCGUUGUGGUUAAUAACCGCAACGAUUGACGUUACUCGCAGAAGAAGCACCGGCUAACUCCGUGCCAGCAGCCGCGGUAAUACGGAGGGUGCAAGCGUUAAUCGGAAUUACUGGGCGUAAAGCGCACGCAGGCGGUCUGUCAAGUCGGAUGUGAAAUCCCCGGGCUCAACCUGGGAACUGCAUCCGAAACUGGCAGGCUAGAGUCUUGUAGAGGGGGGUAGAAUUCCAGGUGUAGCGGUGAAAUGCGUAGAGAUCUGGAGGAAUACCGGUGGCGAAGGCGGCCCCCUGGACAAAGACUG